rnacentral:rRNA from 1 species
CUACGGGUUGCUCCAGUGAGGAAUAUUGCACAAUGGGGGGAACCCUGAUGCAGCAACGCCGCGUGGAGGAUGACGCAUUUCGGUGUGUAAACUCCUUUUAUAUGUCAAGAAAAUGACGGUAGCAUAUGAAUAAGCACCGGCUAACUCCGUGCCAGCAGCCGCGGUAAUACGGAGGGUGCAAGCGUUACUCGGAAUCACUGGGCGUAAAGGACGCGUAGGCGGGUUGGAAAGUCAGGUGUGAAAUCCUACAGCUUAACUGUAGAACUGCACUUGAAACUUCUAACCUAGAGUAUGGGAGGGGAAGAUGGAAUUAGUGGUGUAGGGGUAAAAUCCGUAGAUAUCACUAGGAAUACCAAAAGCGAAGGCGAUCUUCUGGAACAAUACUGACGCUAAGGCGUGAAAGCGUGGGGAGCAAACAGGAUUAGAUACCCUUGUAGUC